rnacentral:rRNA from 1 species
AUUGAACGCUGGCGGCAUGCCUUACACAUGCAAGUCGAACGGCAGCACGGGGCAACCUGGUGGCGAGUGGCGAACGGGUGAGUAAUGCAUCGGAACGUACCUUUCAGUGGGGGAUAACGUAGCGAAAGUUACGCUAAUACCGCAUAUUCUGUGAGCAGGAAAGCAGGGGAUCGCAAGACCUUGCGCUGAUUGAGCGGCCGAUGUCAGAUUAGCUAGUUGGUGAGGUAAAGGCUCACCAAGGCGACGAUCUGUAGCGGGUCUGAGAGGAUGAUCCGCCACACUGGAACGUAGACACGGUCCAGACUCCUACGGGAGGCAGCAGUGGGGAAUUUUGGACAAUGGGGGCAACCCUGAUCCAGCCAUGCCGCGUGAGUGAAGAAGGCCUUCGGGUUGUAAAGCUCUUUCGGCCGGGAAGAAAUCGCACGGGCUAAUACCCUGUGUGGAUGACGGUACCGGAAUAAGAAGCACCGGCUAACUACGUGCCAGCCGCCGCGGUAAAAC